rnacentral:rRNA from 1 species
CCUACGGGAGGCAGCAGUGGGGAAUAUUGGGCAAUGGGCGCAAGCCUGACCCAGCAACGCCGCGUGAAGGAAGAAGGCUUUCGGGUUGUAAACUUCUUUUAUUGAGGACGAAACAAAUGACGGUACUCAAUAAAUAAGCACCGCCUAACUACGUGCCAGCAGCCGCGGUAAUAGGUAGGUGGCAAGCGUUAUCCGGAUUUACUGGUUGUAAAGGGCGUGUAGGCGGGAGUGCAAGUCAGAUGUGAAACCCAUGGGCUCAACCCAUGACCUGCAUUUGAAACUGUUGUUCUUGAGUGAUGGAGAGGGAGGCGGAAUUCCGUGUGUAGCGGUGAAAUGCGUAGAUAUACGGAAGAACACCAGUGGCGAAGGCGGACUGCUGGACAUUAACUGACGCUGAGGCGCGAAAGCGUGGGGAGCAAACAGGAUUAGAUACCCCGGUAGUC